CCCCAACACCCCCACACCCCACUUUCAACAAGAGACAUGCACUUAGGGGAAUGUACCAUCUCGACUUUGGUAGGUUUUCCAAACCCAAAAUCAGUCUCAUAAACAGUGAAGUUAGGUGACCCUGUAACUAGUACCGUAUUUCCCAAUACAGAUAUUUUCCUCAAUAAUGCCCUCCAAUUUUCUGCACCUUUAAGAGGUUCAGUUUUCAUAUCAGUUAUUGCUCUUGCAAUAGCCUUCACCGCCUUCAAAAAACCACCUUCUCCCUUGAGCUCCUCUUGAGCACUGCAUAACAUUUUGUUAAGCAAUUUCCGAAGUACGUUGCCGGUACAGGGUACUUAAAGCGAUCUCUACAAUCUGCUGCAAAACGAAAGUAUAGACAUAAUCCACUUACAUUAUGGAACCACUUGGUAUCUCUUAGACAAGACAUAAGUGUCCCUUGGAUGCUUUUUGGAGAUUUCAAUGAAACUUCUAACUCCUCUGAGGUUAAGGGUGGAUGUUUCUCUAUCACAGAGACCUUACAUUUUAAUGAGAUGAUUGAAAGUUGUCAAUUGAUUGACUUGGGCAAUUGGUAACAAGUUUACCUGGUUGUGUUGUAGUAAAGGUGUCCGCAUAACAAAAAGACUUGACAAAGUGCUUGCUGAUAACAACUGGCGUAUCAUGUUCCCUUAAGCUUUUGUUGAAAAUUUAUCUCGUGUAUAUUCUGAUAACUGUCAAUUACUUAUUUGUGUGAAGGGAUAUUUUUGAGAUAUUGUCCGCUUUCAGUCUAAACUCUCAUGGUUUUGAUUUUGGUCAUCACCUAAAAAGAUUCUCUUACAUUGGAGUAUGUGUAUGCUUUAUAAGUUGUUAUUUUUUUCUCUUAUUUUAUCAAUGUUGGACUUGUUUGUAUCUCAACAAUCCUUUCUUUUGGACCUAAGUUCUCACGAUUUUAUUUUUUAUCAUUA